UAAUCCAGAAAUAAUGGAUAUUCCUUUUGAAUUUUAAUUUAGAACUAAUUAGCUGUUUUGUUUUGGUUUGUUUUUUCAUGUUUGUAUUUAGAAUGCAAGGAUUGGCUUUGGCCUUUGGAAUAGAUUUUGUCACUGAGUUUCAGGAAGUGAAAGACCUCUCUAAACCUCAGAAAAAGAGGGCGCAUGAGCACAACCACUGCAAAAAACGAAAUUGUGAUUGUAAAAUUCAGUGGCAUAGAGAAUGACAAUAGGCUGGAAUAUCUCCAGAAUGCUAAAAAGCCCUCUGACAGUUGUGGAGAUGAGAAGGCGAUGAGAUUCAUCCCACAGAAAUCAAAUAUAAAAAUACUGAAACGUUAGGGAUGUGGAAACAAAUCACCCUGAGAGGGGAGGAAGGCAGCACUCGUUGUUCUGGGUGGCUGUUCCACUGGCUGACCUGUGGCAUGCACUUUGCAGUACUUCAGAAAGACAUUGGCAUGGGGUCAUCUGUUGAAAUAUUAACAGAAUUUGUCAGCAGUGUUUCCAGUAGUGAAACUUGGCUUUUUUUCGUUCCUUUCAUUCACUUGUGGCAGCAUUAUCUCUGCUUAUAGCCAGUUCUUUCCUUCCUGUAGCAACAGCGCUGUGUCUGCAGGAAGAAGCAGGGCUGGGAAGGUGGAGACGACGGUGUCCAUGGGCGUACUGCAUUUCUCUUAGCUUCAAAGAGGCAAAGUGGGGAGUAAAUCCUUCACAGCACUGAAACAGUUAUCAAAGUAAUCCUAUGGAGAGUCUGCCAUCGUUACAGAUCCCCUUUGGUCCUAACCUUUGAAGAAUAGAUGGAGGUGCUGAGUAGAGACUGAAAAUCUUGAUUCAGUUCCCAGUGCCACCAAAGGCUCUGUGAUUUAUGGGGCAAAAAAUCUCAGCCUCUCUCGAUUCAGUUCCCCAUGCACAACCACACAGAACUCUUUGGUGUAGGAGUGACCUCCUGAGAUGUUAUUUGUUUAUCUCACUGCCCCUUGAUUGAGUCCCUAGACGACAGCAGUGUGAAAUGAGCUGACCGGCUCUUUUCUCAGGCAGCUUGCUCCCAAACAGCACAAACACUGUGCUGAGUGUCCUUGCUCUCAAGUCGUUUUGAACAUUUUACUUUUUAUCAAAGGAUGUUUUUUCUUUGAGAUGAAGCCAUCUGCUCAAUAUUUAAUAGUAUUUUAUAAUCCCCUGUUUUCUCCCUAGAAAAAGCCCUUAAUAUGAGUCAUAAUACAAACAUAAUUUGUAAAUGAAAUGUAGGCCUGGAUCAAUACCCUUCUCCUUGCUGCAGGGUAGCAUAAUCACUGAAAGAUGUUCUAAUUGUUAUGAGGACAGGGAAUUGUUUCAUUUAUGUAAGUGAAAUGUGUUGUUAAGUUGUCUGAUGAUGGGAGUUGACUCUGAGGUUUCUGUACUUGUGGCAAAAUGUCAAUAUUCCUAAAGCAUCUUGCAGUCAGCAGUUUCAGAGAACAGGUUAUUUGCAAAAUAGCCUCCCCAUUAUAAUCCAGUGACACACGGAUCUGCUCCCUAGGUUCCAGCACUGGCCUUUCCAAAUCCAAAGUUAAAUGGAUUCUGCUCCAAGAGCUGAAUUGUCACUGAAACUGCUGUGCUUCAGACAGAUUUGCUGUUACUGAGAAAAUAGGGCUCCUAUAUCUUUCUACUGAAUAAUUUCUCAGGGACAUGUCUUCAGUGCAUGGUAGUACAGGAAUAUUGCAGUGUUGUAACUUUUGGAUAAGCUAAUAGACGUGCAAUCUUAGUUAGUGGAAACCUAGAUGCUCACAAACUUACUUGGGCAGAACAGUAAUUUGCUGUAAAAACAGCCCCCAAAAUUCAAUAGGAGAGUGUAUGCAGGUAUUGUUUAGUACAUGUAAAUGUAUUCAAACUUCAUUAGCUAAUACCAGUGAUUAGCAAAGUUACUUCUUGAUUUCUACUACAGCAAAGUUACUUCUUGAUUUCUACUACAGAAAAACUUAAGCUCUGUUCUGGUGGGCACUAGGAUUUUUCUCUGUGUAAUAAAUGAAAAUUACAUUUAAGCAUACACUCUUACCCCAUCAUCGUGAAGUCCUGCAUGUUCAAGGGAUGCUAUUCACAAUCACUGAAUUCUCCAAGUACUCAUACUUGCAGUGAGCCCCUCGGUACGUACAGAGCCCCACUUGUCCUCUUUGUGAACUGUUGGUCAAUUUUUGCCUUGGAUCAUUUCUGAUAGGCAAGAAAACCAAGUAGCUAUGUUCCAUAGGAAAACCACAUUUACUUAGACUGUGCUUCCCAGUUCCCAUUUCCCCCAGCACAGUGGAGAUCAUGUGUUCUUAUGCUCUCACCAGCUUACUUUUGGUCUUCCAUAAUUGCUUUUUCAGGGGCAGUGACAAGCACUUACCUCAGCAGGUGAAGAUUACCCUUUCCUCUGUUGUUUCCCUUACACUCAACACAGGAGCUGCUAACCUGAGUUGCUUCCCUAUAGCAUCACCAUUAUACUGCACAACAAAGAUGUCAUGUUAAAACGUUAUCACAAGAACCAUCCUUGCCAUAUUCGGCCUGGUCUCUGGUAGCAAAGAGGCUUUUCAACACGUAUCUGCAAAUCGUCUCCAGCAGGACCUCUCCCUGACCUGUGACAAGCAAGUGUGCAUCUUUCCUAUUGCAUACUGAGACUUGCAGUUGCCUGGGGUGUGAUGCUUUGGGGUCACCUCGGCUUAUCGAGGUCACUCCCCUGGCAUUUUGCUUUCUGAUAAGCAAGGUCACAGCCUUGGACAGUAGCCCUGCAAUUUGUACUUGUGCUGCGUGGACUCAGACCUGUGUGCGUACUCAGCUCUCACCCAGAUAAAAUAGCCUGUGAUGAAUUCCACUGUAAGAGCAGUAAAAAGAAGCUGUGUGAACAGGGUUUGGAGGAGCAGGGGAAGUACAUCUAGAGAGCACUUGAAACAGCCUGUUAAGAAAUUGCAGUGUAAUGCACAGCUCCUUGUCCUCAUCCACAAAGAGAACCCUGCAGGCAAAAGGCACCUAAGCAGGUCAGGUGCCAAAGGCUGCUCUGCUCUCUGUAUUCAAUUAGCCAGAUGCAGCAAAAUAAUGGACUCUAUUCAUUGAGUGCAAGUCUCAUUGCUUGUUUGACUUGAUGUGAUAGAAUCACCAUAGAUAAAGGCGCAAAUAGUACCUCAUUGUACCAAAACCUCAAAAUAAUAUGCUACUAAUGAAGGCAAUGUUAGUCAUAUAAACAUUCUAUAAACCCACUGAAGCAGUGAUGGAGCACCUGGUGGGAAGGCAGAGCCAGCCCAGGGGUGCUCAGGUGCAUGCAAUGCAAUGCACUGAGUGAUGGAAGGGUGGAACCAGGAUCCCCCUCUUCCCAGCCCUCAUUUAAGGGCUGGCAGUGAAGGCAAGAGGAUAUCACUGGAAAUCCCUGUGUACCUGAAGCUUUCUGAAGUGCUGCAGGCUUGGUUCUGGGAUGGCUCUUCAGCAUCAGCAAUGUCUGCCUUCCCCAUUUGACAGAAGCUCCAUUUCAGUGAUGCAGAAAAUUAAUAGGGGCACUAUAUUUCCUUUGUAUCCAGACCUAAAUACUGUUUCUAUGGCUGCAAACAUAGUAAUAUUUGAAGAAACAAAGAAGGAAAAAAUGCCAGACCCAAGCCUUGCUCACCUGGGGAUCCUGCGUGGGAUGUAAUCCAGCCCUGCUUCGGGACACAACCUUCUGCAUUGCAACCAGCACCAGCACUGAAGAGCAACUCGAGCAGCCUCAGAGGAGAUGACACACAUUGGGCUUCCAUGUCCACAUCCAUGCAGACGUGUUGCCAUCGUUGCCGGGCAGUCAGCAGGGACAGGACGUGGUGUGGCUGACAGCCUUGGGAUGAGGAUAUUCAAUUCUGAGUGACCUGUGAUCUGCUGUGACCUUAUGAGAUGUUGGUUAUGACGUGCUAUCAUUGAAACCUCUGCAAGAAGCUGAUGCUUCAGGAAUCCUAAGCAUCACCAGUCGAAACAAAUUUUGAACUUGCAAGCUGGGAAGGGAGAAAGCAGUUUCCUUUCGAUCUUACUCCAGACAUCCUUUAUUCCACUCCUGUUGUCAUUUCUGCAAACUGCUCAUGUUGGCACCUGUCUGUGCAGUGACAGAUUUGUGAUGACAGCUUGCAUAACUUAUUUAUAAAAUGAUGGAUUAUUUUGGAAUUUAACUUCAAGUUCACAGACUGGAAAAGUGGAGAAACACCUGCUUCUUGCAGAGGACCUGGCAGGGAGCAAGGAUGCUGGACCAUUGUAAUUCAAAAGAGGAAAGACACAGGCAGUCCUAUUGUCAGAGCCUUCAUUCAAGUCCAUUGAAGGACUGGAAGCAUGACCAAAGACAAAAGGAUGUGAGAUAUUUCUGAAGAGCCCUGAAGUGAUGUGUGCCACACGUGUGAAUUGCUCCACACACCCAACCCAGCACCAGGUGCCACCUGACCGCCUCAUGCUCGCAGAAGACAGAAAUCAGAAGAGCUUUUUCCAACCCAAACCUCUCUCUCUGGGUUUUCUCUCCUGACCUCUGAGUGUGAAGGCAUACCGCUCUCAAAAGGCAUUCUGAAACUUCCAGCCAUCCCUUGUAUCACACAUCUUUUGCUUUCUGCUUUUAUGACCAGCUCAUAUGACCCAUGGGACCCCGUGCUUCUGGGUGAAAUCAGCCACCCCAUCGGAAAGCCAUCGUGCAGAGGCAAUUACUUCUCUGCCAUCACUAUUCACCCCAUAUCCUGCUUUCUGUUGGAAGAAACGUUGGCCCGGUUGUCUGGCUUCUAAUUAAGAACACUUCAUUAUAUCUCAGGGACUGGGAAACCUCAUCUGUAUCUAUUUAUGUAGCACACCUAUGGCUGCAGGAAAAAAACAUCUUUUUUCGAGUCAUGGGUUUUGUGCCAUGACGUGGCAGUUAGUUAUCUGCAGCAACAUCAGGUAACAGCACCACCUUCUGCCAACAUGAUACCAUCUCCUUAGAAAACCAACAGAUUAAUUUUCUCUCUGUGAUUUCCGUGGCUUUCUCAAACAUUUCUGACGCAGAAGAACACCACCCUAAGGGCUGUUUUGAAACACCCCAAGCUGCCUUGAACAGUGAUGAAAUGACCAACAUGUAACCAACUUUAGAGGAGCACUGAAUGCCCUGAGCUGGGCAACACAACUCUCGCUCCUGGGAGGACAGCUGAGCACACCCAUCUGAGUCUUCAUGGAAAACUGCCUUCUUCUCCUCCCUCUUUUACAUAGGUCCCCAGAGCUGCACACAAGGCUACGUCCUAGAUCUUUAGAUGACAUAAGCUGCCUGAAAAUAAUCAUCUUUCUUGCUUUUUUCCUCUAGGUUCUCUUUGUCCUUAGCAGACAACCCGGGGCUGCCCUGCCUUCAGCUUCAGACAGCCAAAUUUUAGGCAGUUGGCUUUCAGAGAGAUGAACAUUACACAAUAUAAGUAUUCACUUUUAAGAGCACAACUGUGUCUUUACCUCAACAAACGCCCUAUUUUCCUGACAUAUUCUUCCUUCCAUGUGGGACCGAGGUGCACACAGAUCCAAGGAACCCAGGAGGAAUGUCAGUGGACACAUAGGUGAAGAAUAAGGUGCUGAUGAGCCAAUCAAUAAACCAGUAAUUAGC